UUUUUAAUCUCAACCAAUAUAUUAGAUAAUAGAGAAUAUAAAAAGAUGAGAAAUAAUAGUGCCACAAAUCUUAACUACUUAAUAUUUAUAGAGUUUGAAGAAGCCAAAAGGCACUAAACAAAAGGUUGCAUAAUUAAAUAUGAGAUUAUAGCAUUAAAAUUAGACCCUAAUGGCAUUGUUGAGGGAAGAUGAAGGAACGUUCCUUCCUAUAUUAAUUAAUUGAUAUAUUUAAGCCACUAAAGUUUAAUUGUUGGCAUAAUAAAAUAAAUAAAUGUUUCAAAAUUUAUAAUUAAUUAUUAUUAAUGGUUACAUAUUAUUGAAUUUAAAUAGAAAGAGGAAGAGACAUGUAAUCUUUUAUAAUCUAAUAAUAAUUUUUUACUUUUAAUAUUUUGUAAUGUAAUUAUUAUUUUUUAAUAUCAACCAAUUUAUUGGAUAAUAAAUAAUACAAGAAGAUGAGAAAUAGUGAUGCCACAUCACCUCCUCUAGUCCCAACUUUAUAUAUAUACUAGGAAAUAGAAUCGCGCUUCACGCGGCUUUGAAAAUAUCAAAUUAAAAAUUAAAAAUUUGAUGAAAUUCAAAUUUCCUAAGAAAUCGUUCUGAUCUCUUCUCAAAAGGAAGAUUAAACAAAUUAAUUUUGUAUGUUUAUUUCAAUAAUAAUAACGAUCGCACAUAAUAAUAAUAAUAAUAAUAAUAAUAAUAAUAAUAAUAAUAAUAAUAAUUGGCACCUAACGACGCUGAGGCUCAUGAGCAUUCCACAAAAUAUAAGUUUCAAUUGCAUCGAGCCCUCCAUCCUUUGCCUUCUAUAUAAGAUCUGGCCACAUUUGCUCAAAUAUAACGCAUAUAGAAAUAAAUCAUAUCAAAUUUUACAUAUUUUUAGAAUAACAAUGCUGUUGAAUCCAAAAAUAUUGCCCAUAAUUUUUCCUAAACAUGAAAGCACACCGUUUUGAAUGUGGGAUCAUGUUUGGCUUGUUAGGGAAAAAAAUUAAAAUAAUAUUUUCGCAGCAAAGUAGCUUUUUUUGGGUUAAAAGAAGAAGAAAAUGUGAAAGUGCAAGUGAUUUGAGAAAUUGUAAAUUAAUUUUUGCAUACAGUACUUGUGGACUGCUGCGAAAAUAUAAUGAAUUGCAUUAAAGAAGAUAACUCGUCGCUCUCCAUUAAUUAUAAUGGUAGUUGCAUCAUAAUCAACUUGUGUUGCUGAUGAUGACAAACAAAUGAAACUUAAAUUUAGAAUAAGAAGAAUUAGGCCAUAGUGGCAUUGUUGAGGGAAGAUGAAAGAACCUCUCUUCCUAUGUUAAUUAAUUAAUGUAUUUUAAGCCACUAAAGUUUAAUUGCUAGCAUAAUAAAAUUUGAAGAAGCCAAAAGAUACUAAAUAAAAGAUUGAAUAAUUAAGUAUGGGAUUGUGACAUUAAAAUUGGGCUCUAGUAGCAUUGUUGAGGGAAGAUGAAGGAACCUUCCUUUCUAUAUUAAUUAAUUGAUGUAUUUUAAGCCACUAAAAUUUAAUUAUUGGCAUAAUGAAACAAAUAAAUGUUUCAAGACUUAUAAUUAAUUAUUAUUAAUGGUUACAUAUUGUUGAAUUUAAAUGGAAAGAGGAAAAGACAUGUAAUCAUUUAUAAUCUAAUAAUUAUUUUCUAUUUUUAAUAUUUUGUAAUGUAAUUAUUUUUUAAUUUCAACCAAUUUAUUAGAUAAUAGAGAAUAUGAGAAGAUUAGAAAUAGUGAUGCCACAUCACCUCUUGUAGUUCCAACUUUAUAAAUAUACUAGAAAAUAGAACAGCGCUUCACGCGGCUUUGAAAAAAGAAUUUAAUAUUAUCAUUUUUUCUUACUUUAUACUUGAUGAAACUGAUAAAAAAUAUGAAUUGAUUUUUUUUAAAGAUGAUACAGCCUUAUAAAAAACAAAAAAAACUAUUAACCAGCAAUACAAAUAAAGAAGCAACGCAAGAUAAAGAAUAAAAUGAGAUAAUAUGUUAUAGAGUGAUUUUAUUCAUUCUAAUUGUGUGUGUACAAAACAAAAAGAUAAGCUCUUCUUUUAUAGUUACAUAAUCACUCCAUGAAAUUAAUGAAAAAUUAUAGAUCAUAAUUUCUUAUGAGAUAGUGGGAGUUAUAGGGAACCUAAAGGUUGCUAAUGGGAGAUAGUGGGGAAACUAAGAGAUAUAUGUUAUGAACAUCUACAUUUAUUUUAAUAAAUUCAUACCAAUCCCUCUUGGAUGUUCAUUACAAAAAAUAUGCUUCAUUUAAAUAUUUACAUAAUUGUUAUUGUGUAAUAACAAUCAAAUCAAUUAUGAGAAGAUGAAAAGUCAAAUCUAAAAGAAAAUGUCUCUAUUUAUUAGAUAAUAGAGAAUAUAUAAAGAUGAGAAAUGAUGAUGUUACAUCACCUCCUCAAGUUCCAGCUUUAUAUAGAUAUAUAGAUAUAUAUAUAUAUAUAUAUAUAGAUUAGUUGAUGUAUUUUAAGGCACUAAAGUUUAAUUGCUAGCAUAAUAAAAUUUGAAAAAGCCAAAAGGCACUCAACAAAAGGUUGCAUAAUUAAAUAUGAGAUUAUAGUAUUAAAAUUAGGCCCUAGUGGCAUUGUUGAGGGAAGAUGAAAGAACCUCUCUUCCAAUGUUAAUUAAUUCAUGUAUUUUAAGUCACUAAAGUUUAAUUGCUAGCAUAAUAAAAUAAAUGAAUGUUUCAAAAGACUUAUAAU
rnacentral:lncRNA from 1 species